GAGAGAGAGAGAGAGAGAUGCGCAAAAGCCCAGGAAGGAGGGAAGAAAAGGUCGACACACAAAGAUGAUCAAAUGUGCCUUUUUUCUUCUUCAUCCUCAUCACCAACCACAUGAAAUGAUCCAAGAAGGAGAGGAGGAUGUGCCCCGGUGCUGCAUAAUUCAAGAUGACUGGUAUUUAAGCAAAGUGGCGCAGAAGUUCUCACCUCGAGCAGGAAAAAAAAAAGAAGGUCAAUCUUGCUUCGUCCACGCGUGGGCAGACCCGACGAGUGCGAUCGUGGCCUAAAAAGCCCCCCAGCAUGGCAGCGUCUAUUCCUGCGAGCGCAGGUUAUUGCACCAGCAGGGCGCCCCCUGUCGGCGCAGUACACCCUUCAGCCAGAGUGGAGACGCGGUUGUUAAAAAUGGAGACUUUAUGCUGCCUGCAGACUAAUGCUCGUCAUAUUGUGCCGUGCAGCUGUCUACUGGAUCUUAUUACACGUCUGAUGCACACAAACCUGCAGCUGUCACCGUGCAUGAGACCUUAUAAGCCCAGUGUGUGUGUGUGUGUGUGUGUGUGUGUAGUCUGCUUCAAACUGUCUCUGGAGUCCAUGAUCCACCAUGAAUGUUUUAUUUAUUUAAUGCACAUAUCAUUGACAAAUAAAU